GGACAGUGCUCUGAGCAGAAUAAGGAGGCUGAAGUGAGGUCAUGUGUUGAGUGUGGCAGCCGGCAGUUGCAACUGAGAACAGAGAGGGUGUCACUUAAACUAAGGCCAAAGGAAAAGUGCCGACUCUGAAGAUGUUGGUCAAGACCUUCCGGGCAGACAGAGCAGCACGUGCCCAGGGUGUAGAGGAGAGAGAGGCCCCGUGGGGCCGGGCGUGGGCCAGCAGCGAGGACAGGGGACGCAGGUGAGACCCCCACUCUGGGAAGAACCCACAUACUGUGGGGGCAGCUAAGCCCACGCACCGCAACUACUGAGCCCGCAUGGCGCGAUUGCUGAAGCCGAGAUCUCUAGAGCCGCGCUCCGCAGCAAGAGAAGCCGCUGCAAGUGAGGAGCCCGUGCACGGCCACCAGAGUCGCGCCUGCUUGCCGCAGCUAGAGGAAGUCGUGCAGCGAUGAAGACCCAGCACAGCCGAAAAUAAAUAAACAAACCUUUGAAAACAAUACGUGUACAGAGAAGGAAUAUUUUCCUUUUCGGUUGGUAAUGGGCGGGGAGGAAAAGGCUGAAUCAAGAAUGACUUGAAUGGCUUGCGCAUCUGGGAGAACGGUGCCAUUUUCUGAGAUGGGGAGCCUGGAUCCCAGGGACUCUCAAGAUCCCCUAGUCUGCGACGCUGGCUGGGAGUCCAGGUCCCCAGCCCCCAAGCCUGCACCUUGGAAGCACAACUGAGGGGUGCGGGUGGGAAUCUCUCUCUCCCCAGGCUCCCGUGCAGAGGGGUGCCCCACUCCCAGCUGCCAACUGACUCCCCUAGAGCCUUCUGUCCUCCUGGCAGGAGAGCUGGGAGAGCCUCUGCACCCUGACUUACCCAGGAGCCAUUCACGAGCAAUAAUUAGCACCG
ensembl:lncRNA